GAUGAAGAACGCAGCGAAAUGCGAUAAGUAAUGUGAAUUGCAGAAUUCAGUGAAUCAUCGAAUCUUUGAACGCACAUUGCGCCCGCCAGUAUUCUGGCGGGCAUGCCUGUUCGAGCGUCAUUUCAACCAUCAAGCCCCCGGGCUUGUGUUGGGGACCUGCGGCUGCCGCAGGCCCUGAAAAGCAGUGGCGGGCUCGCUGUCACACCGAGCGUAGUAGAUUUUAUCUCACUCAGGGCGUGCUGCGGGUUCCGGCCGUUAAACCACCUUCAUAACCCAAGGUUGACCUCGGAUCAGGUAGGAAGACCCGCUGAACUUAAGCAUACAAUAAGCGGAGGA
rnacentral:misc_RNA from 1 species